GGACUACCGGGGUAUCUAAUCCUGUUUGCUCCCCUUGCUCUCGCGCCUCAGCGUCAGGUAAAAGCUAGAAAACCGCUUUCGCCACAGGUGUUCUUCCACAUAUCUACGCAUUUCACCGCUACACGUGGAAUUCCAUUUUCUCCGCCAUCCCUCUAGAUUCACAGUUUCAAGUGCAGCUCCGAAGUUGAGCUUCGGAAUUUCACACCUGACUUACAAAUCCGCCUACGCGCCCUUUACGCCCAAUAAAUCCGAUUAAUGCUUGCACCCUCCGUAUUACCGCGGCUGCUGGCAC
rnacentral:rRNA from 1 species